rnacentral:pre_miRNA from 1 species
GUUGUACUCCCUCCGUUCCGAAUUACUUGUCUUGGAUUUGUCUAGAUACGGAUGUAUCUAGCACUAAAAUGAGUCUAGAUACAUCCGUAUCUAGACAAAUCCAAGACAAGUAAUUCGGAACGGAGGGAGUAUAAU